GAGAGAGGCCCUGAAGCAACGAAAACUGCUAAUUUUCGCGACCUUGGUUAGACCCCAAGGCUCACUCG
rnacentral:tRNA from 1 species